GAAUAUUGCACAAUGGGGGAAACCCUGAUGCAGCGACGCCGCGUGAAGGAAGAAGUAUUUCGGUACGUAAACUUCUAUCAGCAAGGAAGAAAAUGACGGUACUUGACUAAGAAGCCCCGGCUAACUACGUGCCAGCAGCCGCGGUAAUACGUAGGGGGCAAGCGUUAUCCGGAUUUACUGGGUGUAAAGGGAGCGUAGGUGGCAAGGCAAGUCAGAUGUGAAAGCCCGGGGCUCAACCCCGGGAUUGCAUUUGAAACUGCCCAGCUAGAGUGCAGGAGAGGUAAGUGGAAUUCCUAGUGUAGCGGUGAAAUGCGUAGAUAUUAGGAGGAACACCAGUGGCGAAGGCGGCUUACUGGACUGUAACUGACACUGAGGCUCGAAAGCGUGGGGAGCAAACAGG
rnacentral:rRNA from 1 species